GAUCUGCUGAGGGUAGCCCUACUUCGCCUCGAUUU
rnacentral:rRNA from 3 species